UAAGCGCACAGGACCGCAUGGUCCGGUGUGAAAAACUCCGGUGGUAUAAGAUGGACCCGCGUUGGAUUAGCUAGUUGGCAGGGUAACGGCCUACCAAGGCGACGAUCCAUAGCCGGCCUGAGAGGGUGAACGGCCACAUUGGAACUGAGACAAGGCCCAGACUCCUACGGGAGGCAGCAGUGGGGAAUAUUGCACAAUGGGCGCAAGCCUGAUGCAGCGACGCCGCGUGCGGGAUGGAGGCCUUCGGGUUGUAAACCGCUUUUGUUCAAGGGCAAGGCACGGCUUCGGGCCGUGUUGAGUGGAUUGUUCGAAUAAGCACCGGCUAACUACGUGCCAGCAGCCGCGGUAAUACGUAGGGUGCGAGCGUUAUCCGGAUUUAUUGGGCGUAAAGGGCUCGUAGGCGGUUCGUCGCGUCCGGUGUGAAAGUCCAUCGCCUAACGGUGGAUCUGCGCCGGGUACGGGCGGGCUGGAGUGCGGUAGGGGAGACUGGAAUUCCCGGUGUAACGGUGGAAUGUGUAGAUAUCGGGAAGAACACCAAUGGCGAAGGCAGGUCUCUGGGCCGUUACUGACGCUGAGGAGCGAAAGCGUGGGGAGCGAACAGGAUUAGAUACCCUGGUAGUCCACGCCGUAAACGGUGGAUGCUGGAUGUGGGGCCCUUUCCACGGGUCCUGUGUCGGAGCCAACGCGUUAAGCAUCCCGCCUGGGGAGUACGGCCGCAAGGCUAAAACUCAAAGAAAUUGACGGGGGCCCGCACAAGCGGCGGAGCAUGCGGAUUAAUUCGAUGCAACGCGAAGAACCUUACCUGGGCUUGACAUGUGCCUGACGAUCCCGGAGACGGGGUUUCCCUUCGGGGCGGGUUCACAGGUGGUGCAUGGUCGUCGUCAGCUCGUGUCGUGAGAUGUUGGGUUAAGUCCCGCAACGAGCGCAACCCUCGCCGCGUGUUGCCAGCGGGUCAUGCCGGGAACUCACGUGGGACCGCCGGGGUUAACUCGGAGGAAGGUGGGGAUGACGUCAGAUCAUCAUGCCCCUUACGUCCAGGGCUUCACGCAUGCUACAAUGGCCGGUACAACGGGGUGCGACACGGUGACGUGGGGCGGAUCCCUGAAAACCGGUCUCAGUUCGGAUCGCAGUCUGCAACUCGACUGCGUGAAGGUGGAGUCGCUAGUAAUCGCGGAUCAGCAACGC
rnacentral:rRNA from 1 species